GCAUGGUUCAAUCAUAAAAGGUGGCUUUYAGCUACCACUUACAGAUGGACCCGCGGCGCAUUAGCUAGUUGGUGAGGUAACGGCUCACCAAGGCGACGAUGCGUAGCCGACCUGAGAGGGUGAUCGGCCACACUGGGACUGAGACACGGCCCAGACUCCUACGGGAGGCAGCAGUAGGGAAUCUUCCGCAAUGGACGAAAGUCUGACGGAGCAACGCCGCGUGAGUGAUGAAGGUUUUCGGAUCGUAAAACUCUGUUGUUAGGGAAGAACAAGUACCGUUCGAAUAGGGCGGUACCUUGACGGUACCUAACCAGAAAGCC
rnacentral:rRNA from 1 species